UCUGACAAAUCCCUGAGGGAGGUAUUACUUUUGCCCCUAUCAGAGAGGCUACAGGAUUUGCCAAAAGUCACACAGCAAAUGGCAUCAGAUGACUGUCUUUCCUUUGGUUGGGCUCCUUGCUCAUCAGACAACCUCCUGAUGACUCAGUGGCAGAAAGGGUGAGGGAAACUCCCUAAAGACACCACAUCUGGGAUGACAUGAGCCCACAAUCCAGGAUCCCCCUGAAAACUCAACUCUAAGAAGAUCCCUUUUUCAAGUUGGCUUAAAAAAAAAAAAAAUCAGGCGUAGAGUCCGCGGUCUUAUUUUUAACAUCCAAGGAAGAACUGGAAUAUGAUUUUUAUUGUUGUGUUCUAAAAAUAUUUUUUCUAUGGUUUUUGCUUAUUCACAAUAAAAUAGCUUUUGGCAUGACA